rnacentral:tRNA from 1 species
GGGACUGUGGCUCAGUGGUAGAGCACUUGCUUGGCAGGCUUGAGGGCCUGGGCUCAGUCCCCAGCACACACA